AACGUAGGAGACAAACGUUAUCCGGAGUUACUGGGCGUAAAGGGCGUGUAGGUGGUUUUGUAAGUCUGGCGUGAAAUUUUUCGGCUUAACCGGGAAAGGUCGUCGGAUACUGCAAGGCUAGAGGACGGUAGAGGCGUGUGGAAUUCCGGGUGUAGUGGUGAAAUGCGUAGAGAUCCGGAGGAACACCAGUGGCGAAGGCGGCUCACUGGCCCGGAACUGACGCUGAGGUGCGAAAGCGUGGGGAGCAAACAGG
rnacentral:rRNA from 1 species